rnacentral:lncRNA from 1 species
CCCGACAGGGCGGAUAUGUAGAAUCCGUUCCGUGUUUUCCAGCUCACUUACUGUGCUAACUGAGAUAUUCAAUUAAGGAUUCCUCUUCCCACUCUGAAGCGGUUCUCCAGGGCAGAUCUUCCGAGCGACCCACCCUAUGUUAGAAAUAGGAAAAUCCAAUAAUAACAACACUAGAAAAAAAAUGAAAAAAUGAGGCAACUUUGAUCACGCAUGCUCCCUUGUCAUACACAACAUUUGCUCUAAAGUUGGAAAGUCGCGGAAAAGCCAGGAAGUAACGUUACAGUAAGCCAAUCAGCUGAGGGGAAGCAUCUCGUGUUUAAAAUGCCUGUGAUAUCCAAGAGAAGGCGUCAACAGACAGCUAUGUAAGAGUCUAGUGUGAACGUGCAAGCUAACUGUUGGCAAGAAGAAGACAGUGACCCACAGGACUGAGACAAAACUGGAGCACUCAAUAUAUCUUAAAGGAAAAUAUACUGGGAUCUGUAAGGGGGCAGAGAGAGAGAAAGACAGAGACGAAGAGAGCACAUUAUCACACAUAGUCAAAAGAUCUCCAAAUGCUUCGG